AAAACGGUCCUUUUCAGGACCACAAUAAAAUGAAUAAAAAGUUUUU
rfam:Lutzomyia longipalpis Contig23707, whole genome shotgun sequence.